rnacentral:tRNA from 1 species
GGUGGCUCAGUAGUAGAGUGCUUGCCUUGCAUGCAUGAAGGCCUGGGUUCGAUUCCUUAGCACCA